CCAGUGCUUACAAUUUCAGUUAGAAGUCUCCUCCUUACUGAGACCUUUACGUGUGAUUUUUGUUCUUAUUGGGAGCUUUGAAUUUCUCACUGAGAGGAAACACUUUCUUUCAACCUUCUUGAUCUUUCUUUUUUUUUUUUUUUUUUUGGUUCUUUUUUUUUUUUUUGGAGCUGGGGAUCGAACUUUCUUUGGUCUAUCCAACCCCAUGGCAUUUACUUGUGAAUCAGGGCUACUAAAUAAAAUAUCAGUUACCUGAGCACAGAGACUGAUACUAUGGGCGUUGAUAACAGUGGAGACAGGCGGGCCCUUAGUGGCCAGUGAGCAAGAGAGUGUGGAGAUGAGGGAGGGGCGAGGCGUGAUCUGUGUCUAGGGAAAGAUGGGUCCUGCCAGGGGGAGAUGGCAAAGUCAGAGAUAGACGUCAUCAAGCUACUCAGAAUAGUACACAACCUGAAAGGUUAUCUGUUCCUGGAAUUUUCCAUUUAAUAUUUGCAAAAUUGCUAGGGAAAGGGGAGGGCACUGUACUAGAGAAAUGUUUGAGAAGUGGGCCAAAAAAACUGGAUCCAAGAGUAAAGCCGCUUACAGCCAAACUCACACAAAGGAAGAAGAGACACCCCCCCCCCCCCACAGGCUUGACUUCUUCACACAGGCUGUGGUAUAUAGAACCUGCCUUCCAACAGAGACAUGUGUGUCAGGUCUAAGAGAAACAAAAACAGAACUUUUUUUUAAAAAACGUUCAUUGGUGUUUUGACUCCAUGUAAGUCUAUGUGAAGCAGUUAAGAGUUCCUGGAACUGGAGUUACGGACACGCGUGAGCUGCCUCGUAGUGGAUGCUGGGAAUUGAACCCUGAUCCUCUGGGAGAACAGGGAGAACAGCUAGUGCUCCUUACCGCUGAGCCAUCUCUCCAGUCCCAAAACCGAACUCUUAAGAAGCCCAACACGCUUCCAGGUAGUAAACGGAAGUCUGUUGGGGUGCACUCUGUGAGGGUUGUCUCUGUAUAUUCGACUGCUGAUCGCUGCACCAGCAGAGAGCUGAGGGCUGGCCGGAUUUUCGCAUUGUUAUUCUUAUAUGUCAUCAUUAUCUGCCUCUGUACCUUGUAAAUACCCUUCCUUCCUCCCUCACCUUUUGAUUGGCUUAGCAAAGAUCUGACAGCCAAUAGCUAGGCAGGAAAGGGGAGGCGGGACUUAUGGGCGGACCGAGAGAGCGGUAAAUAGCCACAUGGCGGGUCAUAGGCUAGGAUAAGAAGAUUAAAUUAGAUGAGCUAGACGGGAGAUUGCCCAAGGUAAAGGCCUAAGCUAUACUAAAAAGUCUCUAUGUCAUUAUUUAACCUCUGGCGGGUCCAAAAAGGCCCGCUAUAGAUGUCUAAACAAUCGGUUUAGAAAUGGAGUAUCAGUGUUGAUGUUGACUGGCAGGAUUAGACGCCUCCUGGUGAUCGGAAUGAGGCUCGCUCCCCAUAUGUGUUUGGAUUCUUGGUCCCCAGUUGGUGGAACUGCUUGAAAAGGAUUAGAAAGUGUGGCCUUAUUGGAGGUGGUGUGUCACUGGGGAUGGGCCCCCGAGGUUUCAAAAGCCUACACCAUACCCACUAUGCUCUCUGCCUCCCGCUGGUGGGUGGAGAUGUGUGCUCUCAGCUGUGCCUGCUAUCUUGCCUUUGCUCUGGCGUCACGGACUCUAACCCUGUGGAACUGUAAGCUCAAUUAAACACCUUUGAUGAAUUGCCUUGGUCGAGGUUUUUUUGUUGCAACAACAGAAAAGUAAGUCACCCCUGACGCCUGUCUCCCUUGGAAACUCUACAAGAGACACUUGGGACCUGGCAGUUCCCACCUCCUGCCCGUGUGGGGCACAGAAAAGGUCUGCUAUGGGCACCAGGAGCUUUAAUGGCAUUGCCUUUUACAACCUGGUAAAAUCAUUAGGUUCCUCUGGACAUUGGCGGCCACCAACCUUGCAAAUAGCACCAAAUGACCCAUCUCCCAGGUAACUGGAGACUCGCCCUUUACACAUGGUCUUACAUGUCCCAAAUGAGUGCCUUCUACUUAGUGAAGGGUAGUCUUAGUAGCCAGACUGAGUCCACAAGACUGGUAAAGCUUUAUUAAGACUUCAACAGAAAUGCUGCUUCCACACAUGGACCACACACAGAGCGAGCAGCUAUGGAGAGGCCCUGCACCACCUCUGCUGACAGCCACUAGGUGGGGACAGCGAGGCUUGGCUGUAUCCACGGUGUCUGGGCCUGGGGAGCCCGUACUCCAACCCUGUCUCUGCCUAGAAAAACAAGCUAUCCUGUGCUCUCGGGAGUAAUGAGCCACACGUACAAACCUAAACACACACGGGGACCGAUGCAAAUAGUACCUAUGACCCAAGAAACCUCGGAAUCCCCCAGAGCCUGUGAAAGUGACCUGAAGUGUGGGGCUGCAGCAGGGUGUGGGGCUACACUAGUCCAGAUCCUGGUAAGGAACAUCUGACUGUACACAGCGCAGUUCACCACACAAGGAAACCACAGAGUAACUCUACUGGGCAGCAAAAAUAAGUUCUGGCCACAGCAUGAGAGCACUAGCAAACAAUAGAAACUAAGCAAGCACAAGCACUUAGACACGGGACUUCAGGGGAGAGCCCUGCAAGCAAGCACAAGCACUUAGAAACGGGACUUCAGGGGGAGCCCUGCAGACUGAAGCAAGCGGGUCUUCUCCCUCCAGGCACAAUACAGAGCACAGGCUGCUC
ensembl:lncRNA